rnacentral:rRNA from 1 species
UACGUAGGGUGCAAGCGUUGUCCGGAAUUAUUGGGCGUAAAGAGCUCGUAGGCGGUUUGUCGCGUCUGCUGUGAAAACUCAGGGCUUAACUCUGAGCUUGCAGUGGGUACGGGCAGACUAGAGUGCGGUAGGGGAGACUGGAAUUCCUGGUGUAGCGGUGAAAUGCGCAGAUAUCAGGAGGAGCACCGGGUGGCGAAGGCGGGUCUCUGGGCCGUAACUGACGCUGAGGAGCGAAAGCAUGGGGAGCGAACAGG